UACAGAGGAGCCAAGCGUUGUCCGGAUUGACUGGGCGUAAAGCGCACGCAGGCGGUCGGGCGCGUGGGGUGUGAAAUCUGGCCGCUUAACGGCCAGGCGCCAUCCCAUACGGCUCGACUGGAGUGAUGCAGAGGUCGAUGGAAUUGCCGGUGUAGUGGUGAAAUGCGCAGAUAUCAGGAGGAACACCGGUGGCGAAGGCGGGUCUCUGGGCCGUAACUGACGCUGAGGAGCGAAAGCGUGGGGAGCGAACAGG
rnacentral:rRNA from 1 species